ensembl:lncRNA
AGAGGGUAGGUAACAUGUUGCUGGUCCUAUAGAGGGUAGGUAACAUGUUGCUGGUCCUAUAGAGGGUAGGUAACAUGUUGCUGGUCCUAUAGAGGGUAGGUAACAUGUUGCUGGUCCUAUAGAGGGUAGUUAGUGUGUUGCUGGUCCUAUAGAGGGUAGUUAGUAUGUCGCUGGUCCUAUAGAGGGUAGUAAGCAUGUCACUGGUCCUAUAGAGGGUAGUUAACAUGUUGCUGGUCCUAUAGAGGGUAGUUAGCAUGUUGCUGGUCCUAUAGAGGGUAGGUAACAUGUUGCUGGUCCUAUAGAGGGUAGGUAACAUGUUGCUGGUCUUAUAGAGGGUAGUUAACAUGUUGCUGGUCCUGUAGAGGGUAGUUAACAUGUUGCUGGUCCUAUAGAGGGUAGUUAACAUGUUGCUGGUCCUAUAGAGGGUAGUUAGUAUGUCGCUGGUCUUAUAGAGGGUAGUUAGCAUGUUGCUGGUCCUAUAGAGGGUAGUUAGCAUGUUGCUGGUCCUAUAGAGGGUAGUUAGUGUGUUGCUGGUCCUGUAGAGGGUAGUUAACAUGUUGCUGGUCCUAUAGAGGGUAG